rnacentral:rRNA from 1 species
AGAUUGAACGCUGGCGGCAUGCCUUACACAUGCAAGUCGAACGGCAGCACGGGAGCAAUCCUGGUGGCGAGUGGCGGACGGGUGAGUAAUAUAUCGGAACGUGCCCAGUCGUGGGGGAUAACGCAGUGAAAGCUGUGCUAAUCCGCAUACGAUCUA